GACCUCUGCAAUGCGCGAAAGCGCGACAGGGCCACCCCGAGUGCUAGACGCUGAGUCUAGCUUUUCCUUAGUGUAGUAAGCUAGGGGAAUAAGCGGGGGGCAAGCCUGGUGUCAGCCGCCGCGGUAAUACCAGCUCCGCGAGUGGUCGGGACGAUUAUUGGGCCUAAAGCGUCCGUAGCCGGCCUAGCAAGUCUCUGGUUAAACUUCAAGGCUUAACCUUGAGAUUGCUGGAGAUACUGCUAGGCUAGGGGGCGGGAGAGGUUGAGGGUACUUCACGGGUAGGGGCGAAAUCCUAUAAUCCGUGAAGGACCACCAGUGGCGAAGGCGCUCAACUGGAACGCGCCCGACGGUGAGGGACGAAAGCCAGGGGAGCAAAGGGG
rnacentral:rRNA from 1 species